UUUUCCUGUCCAACAAAGGGAAAGGCCUUUGAGAGGCGGUGAACAUGAGAAUAGCCUGCCAAAAGAGAAAAAAGUGCCGAAACGUCCAAAGCAGUCCAAAGAUGCUCUGCAGGCUGAAAUAUCUUCACCGAGAGAUGUCAGCAUAGGUGUCAGUGGGAAGCACACAGUUGGUGGUAGCAAAAUUCUCCAAAGAGAGCCUUCAGACCUGGAGUUGGGG
rnacentral:lncRNA from 1 species